UUUAGAGUUUGAUCCCUGGCUCAGAUUGAACGCUGGCGGCAUGCCUUACACAUGCAAGUCGAACGGUAACAGGUCUUCGGAUGCUGACGAGUGGCGAACGGGUGAGUAAUACAUCGGAACGUGCCCGAUCGUGGGGGAUAACGAGGCGAAAGCUUUGCUAAUACCGCAUACGAUCUACGGAUGAAAGCGGGGGAUCUUCGGACCUCGCGCGGACGGAGCGGCCGAUGGCAGAUUAGGUAGUUGGUGGGAUAAAAGCUUACCAAGCCGACGAUCUGUAGCUGGUCUGAGAGGAUGAUCAGCCACACUGGGACUGAGACACGGCCCAGACUCCUACGGGAGGCAGCAGUGGGGAAUUUUGGACAAUGGGCGAAAGCCUGAUCCAGCCAUGCCGCGUGCAGGAUGAAGGCCUUCGGGUUGUAAACUGCUUUUGUACGGAACGAAAAGCCUCUUUCUAAUAAAGAGGGGUCAUGAC
rnacentral:rRNA from 1 species